AGUGAACGCUGGCGGUAGGCCUAACACAUUCAAGUCGAACGGCAGCACAGUAAGUGCUUGCUCUUACGGGUGGCGAUUGGCGGACGGUUGAGGAAUACAUCGGAAGCUACUUUUUCGUGGGGGAUAACGUAGGUAAACUUACGCUAAUACCGCAUACGACCUACGGGUGAAAGCAGGGGAUCUUCGGACCUUGCGCGAUUGAAUGAGCCGAUGUCGGAUUAGCUGGUUGGCGGGGUAAAGGCCCACCAAGGCGACGCUCCGUAGCUGGUCUGAGAGGAUGAUCAGCCACACUGGACCUGAGACACGGUCCAGAACCCUACGGGAGGCACCCGUGGCGAACAUUGCACACUGGGGGCAAGCAGGAUCAAGCCAUCCCGCGUGAGUGACGCAGGCAUUCGGGUUGUACGCCCUUUUGUUGGGCAAGAAUAGCAGCAGGUUAAUCCCCCGCUGUUCUGACGGUACCCAAAGAAUAAACAACGGCUAACUUCGUG
rnacentral:rRNA from 1 species